UUGGGGUUGCGGACAUAUCAUAACGAAGAGGUAUCGUAAUUGAAGAGGUUUGGAAAGACCCACCACAGAAGGUAAUAGUCCUGUAUGUUAAACGAGAAGACUUUAGAUAUGAUCCAGAGUACCACAGGACACGUGAAACCCUGUGGGAAGCAGGAGGGACCACCCUCCAAGGCUAAAUACUACCUAGUGACCGAUAGCGUAUAGUACCGUGAGGGAAAGGUGAAAAGAACCCCGGGAGGGGAGUGAAAUAGAACCUGAAACCCUGCACUUACAAGCUGUGGAAGCACAUUUAUUGUGUGACCGCGUACUUUUUGUAGAACGGGCCAACGAGUUACGUUCAGUAGCAAGGUUAAGCACUUAAGGUGCGGAGACGUAGCGAAAGCGAGUUUUAACUGAGCGUUCAGUUACUUGACGUAGUCGCGAAACCGGGCGACCUACCCAGGAGCAGGAUGAUGCGAACGUAAUAUUUCGUGGAGGUCCGAACGCACAAGCGUUGAAAAGCUCGGGGAUGACUUGUGGGUAGCGGUGAAAUUCCAAUCGAGCCCGGAGAUAGCUGGUUCUCCCCGAAAUAGCUUUAGGGCUAGCCUCAAGGUGAGAGAUACGGAGGUAGAGCACUGAAUGUCCUAGGGGGUAUUGCACCUACCGAAGACUAUCAAACUCCGAAUGCCGUCAUCUUAUACUUGGGAGUCAGACUGUGGGUGAUAAGAUUCAUAGUCGAAAGGGCAACAGCCCAGAUCGUCAGCUAAGGUCCCUAAAUGUAAGUUAAGUGGUAAAGGAUGUGGGAUUGCACAGACAACCAGGAUGUUGGCUUAGAAGCAGCCACUCAUUCAAAGAGUGCGUAAUAGCUCACUGGUCGAGUGAUCCUGCGCCGAAGAUUUCCGGGGCUAAAACUUACUACCGAAGCUACGGCAUCAGUAAUGA
rnacentral:rRNA from 1 species